CUAAGGAUAACUGUGGUAAUUCUAGAGCUAAUACAUGCACUCAGUUCUGACCCUAGGGGAAGAACGCUCAUAUUAGACCAAGACCUACCGUUGGGGCAACCCUUCGUAGUCUAGGUGACUCUGGAUAUUAAUCAGUCAAUCGAAUGGCCUCGUGCUGUCGAUGUAUCUUUCAAGCGUAUGCCCUAUCACCUGUCGACGUUAGGUUAACAGCCUAUCGUGGGGGUAACGGGUAGCGGGGAAUCAGGGUUCGAUUCCGGAGAGGGCGCAUGAGAAAUGGCGACCACAUCCAAGGAAGGCAGCAGGCGCGCAAAUUACCCAAUGCCGACACGGCGAGGUAGUGACGAAAAAUAACAAUACGGGACUCUUUUGAGGCCCCGUAAUUGGAAUGAGCACAAUCUAAAUCCUUUAGCGAGGAUCUAUU
rnacentral:rRNA from 1 species